rnacentral:rRNA from 1 species
GGUGAACGCUGGCGGCGUGCCUAAUACAUGCAAGUCGGACGCACCACUUCGGUGGUGAGUGGCGAACGGGUGAGUAAUACAUAAGUAACCUGCCCUUGCGAGGGGGAUAACUAUUAGAAAUGAUAGCUAAGACCGCAUAGGUAUGAUGAUCGCAUGAUCGUGAUAUUAAAAAUCCGUAUGGAUUGCGCAAGGAUGGACUUAUGACGCAUUAGCUAGUUGGUGAGGUAACGGCUCACCAAGGCGACGAUGCGUAGCCGGCCUGAGAGGGUGGACGGCCACACUGGGACUGAGACACGGCCCAG